rnacentral:rRNA from 1 species
GACGAACGCUGGCGGCGUGCCUAAUACAUGCAAGUCGAGCGCAGGAAAUCAUCCGAACCCUUCGGGGGGACGUUGAUGGAAUGAGCGGCGGACGGGUGAGUAACACGUAAAGAACCUGCCCUCAGGUCUGGGAUAACCACAAGAAAUCGGGGCUAAUACCGGAUGGGUCAUCGGACCGCAUGGUCCGAGGAUGAAAGGCGCUUCGGCGUCGCCUGGGGAUGGCUUUGCGGUGCAUUAGCUAGUUGGUGGGGUAAUGGCCCACCAAGGCGACGAUGCAUAGCCGACCUGAGAGGGUGAUCGGCCACACGGGGACUGAGACACGGCCCAGACUCCUACGGGAGGCAGCAGUAGGGUAUCUUCCACAAUGGACGAAAGUCUGAUGGAGCAACGCCGCGUGAGCGAUGAAGGCCUUCGGGUCGUAAAGUUCUGUUGUAAGGGAAGAACGAGUGCCGCAGGCAAUGGCGGCACCUUGACGGUACCUUGCGAGAAAGCCACGGCUAACUACGUGCCAGCAGCCGCAGUAA